UCCCUGGACUAGUGGUUAGGCCUCGGCGUUCUCACUGCCGCGGCCGAGGUUCGACUCGCGGCCAGGGAA